rnacentral:piRNA from 1 species
AACAAGAAAGAUGAAGAACGAAGA